UUAAUGUCAUCUAUUCUCAAUGGCAUGUCAAUACGCCAUAUUUUCUUGCCAUUUAUUACCAUCGCCCAAUUGUGUUUAUUUUGUGCAGACAAAUAUUCAAAAGUUGAUUGCAUCUAUGCAGAUUUUUACGACGCGUUUGAUAAGGUAUCAUAUUCAAUUUUGUUUCAUAAAAUAAGAAACUUUGGUACUCAUUCAGUUUUCUUAAAUUGGUCUGCUCCGUUUGUUGCUACUUCUGGGGUGCCUCAAGGCAGUGUCCGUGGACCGCUUUUGGGUGGACUUUAGUAUUCAGCCGCAGCUUGUGUUUUAAGAAAACCAGGUGGAAUUAACAUUUGAAACUUGGUCAGGAUGUUAAGGGAGCAGUGGCAGAGUGUUGUUUCUUUGCAAAUUUACUUGGAAAAAGUGUAGCUUUGCUGUGAAAUAGAAGUAUAAGCUUUUGUGCAAUAUGUUUAUUUGUAUAUGCAUAUGAAGCACAUUU